rnacentral:misc_RNA from 1 species
GCAAGAUACUUGCCACGACGGAUGUAGGCAGAAGGGAUCUAUGCAGCUAGCUGAGCACGGACUAGACUUUUUUGGAAGCUCAAUGAUGGGAGAAGACGAUUUCACCAAGGUAGGAUUAACAGCACACCUAAGAGAUAAAUCAAAAUCAGACAGCAUGAUAUGACCGUCUUCUCGGACCAACACAUUCUCAGGUUUUAAGUCUCGGUAGACAACUCCAAGCAAGUGAAGAUAUUCCAAUGCAAGAAGAACUUCAG